UACAGAGGGGGCAAGCGUUGUUCGGAAUUACUGGGCGUAAAGGGCGCGUAGGCGGCCCGCUAAGUCGAACGUGAAAUCCCCGGGCUCAACCCGGGAACUGCGUCCGAGACUGGCGGGCUCGAAUCCGGGAGAGGGAUGUGGAAUUCCAGGUGUAGCGGUGAAAUGCGUAGAUAUCUGGAGGAACAUCGGUGGCGAAGGCGGCAUCCUGGACCGGUAUUGACGCUGAGGCGCGAAAGCCAGGGGAGCAAACGGG
rnacentral:misc_RNA from 1 species